AACGAACGCUGGCGGCAUGCCUAACACAUGCAAGUCGAACGAGACCUUCGGGUCUAGUGGCGCACGGUUGCGUAACGCGUGGGAAUCUGCCCUUGUGUUCGGAAUAACAGUUGGAAACGACUACUAAUACCGGAUGAUGACGUAAGUCCAAAGAUUUAUCGCACAAGGAUGAGCCAGCGUAGGAUUAGCUAGUUGGUGAGGUAAAGGCUCACCAAGGCGACGAUCCUUAGCUGGUCUGAGAGGAUGAUCAGCCACACUGGGACUGAGACACGGCCCAGAAUCCUACGGGAGGCAGGAGUGGGGAAUAUUGGAAAAUGGGCGAAAGCAUGAUCCAGCACUGCCGCGUGAGUGAUGAAGGCAUUAGGGUUGUAAAGCUCUUUUACCCGGGAUGAUAAUGACAGUACCGGGAGAAUAAGCUACGGCUAACUCCGUG
rnacentral:rRNA from 1 species